rnacentral:rRNA from 1 species
UUCAGCAGCCGUGUCACCUGCAGUUCAGACUAGGUAACCCACCUGAAGCUAAGCGGCUUUGGGCCGGGCCAGUACCUGGCUGGGAGACCAACUGGGAAAGCUGGUUUGCUGCUGGAA